GGACUACUGGGGUAUCUAAUCCUGUUUGCUCCCCACGCUUUCGUGCCUGAGCGUCAGUGUUAUCCCAGGGGGCUGCCUUCGCCAUCGGUGUUCCUCCACAUCUCUACGCAUUUCACUGCUACACGUGGAAUUCCACCCCCCUCUGACACACUCUAGCUAUCCAGUCUCAACUGCCAGUCCCAGGUUAAGCCCGGGGGUUUCACAGCUGACUUAAAUAACCGCCUGCGCACCCUUUACGCCCAGUAAUUCCGAUUAACGCUCGCACCCUACGUAUUACCGCGGCUGCUGGCAC
rnacentral:rRNA from 1 species